GUACAAACAAAAGGUGUUUUAUUAGUCUGAAAACAAAAACCCAGCCAUGAAGUGAAUAAAUGCAAUGUUGGCAAUGGCUCUAUAAAUAGGUGUCACACCACGAAACACAUAUGAAAGACAUGUAAAUGUUUACAUCACAACUUUGCUAGGCAGAAAUCUACAGCACACGCUGGCUCUAUCUACACACUUUCACUGCAUUACAAUAGUUUUUUAAAAAACAACAUCAACAACAACUCUAGUCAAAGUGCUUUAGAUAGUAUUGCUAAUAAUACAUAUGUAGUCCUUUAAAAG